AAUCUUUACCACCUUGAUAAAGCCAUAACAGUCUCCUCUGCUCUGCAGGCCGGAACAGUGUGGGUGAAUUGCUAUAGCAUGGUGUCUGCCCAGUGUCCCUUUGGUGGAUUCAAGAUGUCUGGAAAUGGACGAGAACUGGGAGAAUACGGUCUCCAUGAAUACACAGAGGUUAAGACAGUCACAAUGAAAAUUUCUCAGAAGAACUCAUAAAGAAACUACAUGGAAAGACAGAAGAAUCCUCAAUGGCUAAGCAUCUCAUGCUAUCACUAAUAUAUUAUGGUGGGUUUUAA